rnacentral:snoRNA from 1 species
UUUUCUGAUGAUCUCAUGUAUUCGCUGUGUUCUUACUGAAUUCUAUGUUGAAUAAUACAUCACCUUGGAGAACUGACAU